rfam:Nicotiana sylvestris Nsyl_contig83651, whole genome shotgun sequence.
AUGUCAUGGUGUGGACAUUUUCUUAUCAUUGCUUUUUAAUCUUUACCAAGCUUGAUAAACUGACUCAGUGUCAGUCUGCAAGAAAUUAGAGAUGUCUUGUCUUAACUU